CCUACGGGUGGCAGCAGUGAGGAAUAUUGGUCAAUGGACGGAAGUCUGAACCAGCCAUGCCGCGUGCAGGAAGACGGCUCUAUGAGUUGUAAACUGCUUUUGUACAAGGGUAAACCUGAAUACGUGUAUUCAGCUGAAAGUACUGUACGAAUAAGGAUCGGCUAACUCCGUGCCAGCAGCCGCGGUAAUACGGAGGAUCCAAGCGUUAUCCGGAUUUAUUGGGUUUAAAGGGUGCGUAGGCGGAUUGAUAAGUUUGAGGGGAAAUGUCCGAGCUUAACUCGGGAACUGCCUCUAAUACUGUUGGUCUAGAGAGUAGAUGCGGUAGGCGGAAUGUAUGGUGUAGCGGUGAAAUGCUUAGAGAUCAUACAGAACACCGAUUGCGAAGGCAGCUUACCAAUCUAUAUCUGACGUUGAGGCACGAAAGCGUGGGGAGCAAACAGGAUUAGAUACCCUUGUAGUC
rnacentral:rRNA from 1 species